UCUAAGAAAAAAUCCAAGAAACUUUGCAUUCCCAGAAUCUUCUGUAUAUAUACGGAAACAGUCCUGUGUCCCUUGGGUUAGACGAAAUUGCGCCAAGAUAUCAUUUCGCAAAUAUCUUUCUCAGCAGCCUCCUUACACCAACGACGUGUUUGCCGAUUCAUUGGACUAAAUGCAUACUAGUCAUAGACAGAAAGAAGAAGGUUUCAACAUGGACUAGUAUAUCUUGCAUAUAUAUAAUAUACAUGCACGUAUUCCAAAAACUUUGUCGGGAAUAACAGCGAACGGCAAUUGUCGAGCGGUGAUUACAUGACCAUGGGACUUCGGUUGCCCUGUUUAACUUACAAAAUUUCACUUGAAGAUUAACCUUGGAUUAAACCUUGGAUUAACCUUAUAAGUUUGUAAUCAUCAUUAUCACUGUUUGUAAUUUCGAAAUAAUGCUUUCGUUCACAAUCCCGAGACACAUUCAAGAGAUCAUAAUCUCCCAAGCAACUAGGACAAGGAUGAGUUAAUAUAUAAAACUGCAUCUUAAUUAAAAAUGGUCUAUGUUAUUGUAAAAAAUCUAUUUCGUAAUGCACACUCUUGAGAAAGAUUUCCAACACUCCAAAAAAAAUCGUACCUCAGCGUGCGUAUGUAAUAAGUCCCGUUCAUAAAUAAAAAUAAAUGAGUGAAAUAUUAACCAA